rnacentral:rRNA from 1 species
UACGUAGGGUGCGAGCGUUGUCCGGAAUUAUUGGGCGUAAAGGGCUCGUAGGCGGUUUGUUGCGUCGGCUGUGAAAUCCCGAGGCUCAACCUCGGGUCUGCAGUCGAUACGAGCAAACUAGAGUGUUGCAGGGGAGACUGGAAUUCCUGGUGUAGCGGUGAAAUGCGUAGAUAUCAGGAGGAACACCGGUGGCGAAGGCGGGUCUCUGGGCAACAACUGACGCUGAGGAGCGAAAGCGUGGGGAGCGAACAGG